GAUGAACGCUGGCGGCGUGCCUAAUACAUGCAAGUCGAGCGAACAGACGAGGAGCUUGCUCCUCUGACGUUAGCGGCGGACGGGUGAGUAACACGUGGAUAACCUACCUAUAAGACUGGGAUAACUUCGGGAAACCGGAGCUAAUACCGGAUAAUAUAUUGAACCGCAUGGUUCAAUAGUGAAAGACGGUUUUGCUGUCACUUAUAGAUGGAUCCGCGCCGCAUUAGCUAGUUGGUAAGGUAACGGCUUACCAAGGCAACGAUGCGUAGCCGACCUGAGGGGGGGACAGGCCACACUGGAACUGAGACACGUCCCAGACUCCUAGGGAAGGCAGCAGUAGGGAAUCUUCCGCAAUGGGCGAAGGCCUGACGGAGCAACGCCGCGUGAGUGAUGAGGGUCUUCGGAUCGUAAAACUCUGUUAUUAGGGAAGAACAAAUGUGUAAGUAACUAUGCACGUCUUGACGGUACCUAAUCAGAAAGCCACGGCUAACUACGU
rnacentral:rRNA from 1 species